UGGGGAAUAUUGUGCAAUGGGGGAAACCCUGACACACCGACGCCGCGUGAGCGAAGAAGGCCUUCGGGUCGUAAAGCCCAAUAGUAUGGGAAGAAAUAAAUGACGGUACCAUACGAAAGCCCCGGCUAACUACGUGCCAGCAGCCGCGGUAAUACGUAGGGGGCGAGCGUUGUCCGGAAUUAUUGGGCGUAAAGCGCGCGCAGGCGGUCCCUUAAGUCUGAUGUGAAAGCCCACGGCUUAACCGUGGAGGGUCAUUGGAAACUGGGGGACUUGAGUGCAGAAGAGGAGAGCGGAAUUCCACGUGUAGCGGUGAAAUGCGUAGAUAUUAGGAGGAACACCAGUGGCGAAGGCGGCUUUCUGGACAGUAACUGACGCUGAGGCGCGAAAGCGUGGGGAGCAAACAGG
rnacentral:rRNA from 1 species